GUGUCCUUUUAGAGCUGACAGAGUGCUUUAAGAGGCUAACAUAUAAGUGGAAAGUAAGUCUCCAUAAAACCCAGAGAAGAGAUGGUCGUUUCUUCUUUGGAUCCUGUCUGGAGUCAACAGAU
ensembl:snoRNA